rnacentral:rRNA from 1 species
UACGUAGGGUGCGAGCGUUGUCCGGAAUUAUUGGGCGUAAAGAGCUCGUAGGCGGUUUGUCGCGUCUAUCGUGAAAACCUGGGGCUUAACUCCGGGCUUGCGGUGGAUACGGGCAGACUUGAGUUCGGUAGGGGAGACUGGAAUUCCUGGUGUAGCGGUGAAAUGCGCAGAUAUCAGGAGGAACACCGAUGGCGAAGGCAGGUCUCUGGGCCACUACUGACGCUGAGAAGCGAAAGCAUGGGGAGCGAACAGG